UACGGAGGGGGCUAGCGUUGUUCGGAAUUACUGGGCGUAAAGCGCGCGUAGGCGGCGAUUUAAGUCAGAGGUGAAAGCCCGGGGCUCAACCCCGGAACUGCCUUUGAGACUGGAUUGCUAGAAUCAUGGAGAGGUGAGUGGAAUUCCGAGUGUAGAGGUGAAAUGCGUAGAUAUUCGGAGGAACACCAGUGGCGAAGGCGGCUCACUGGACAUGUAUUGACGCUGAGACGCGAAAGCGUGGGGAGCAAACAGG
rnacentral:rRNA from 1 species